rnacentral:rRNA from 1 species
GAUGAACGCUAGCGGCAGGCUUAAUACAUGCAAGUCGAGGGGCAGCACGAAUAGCAAUAUUUGGUGGCGACCGGCGCACGGGUGCGUAACACGUAUACAAUCUACCUAAAACAGGGGGAUAGCCUUUCGAAAGAGAGAUUAAUACCCCGUAAUAUAAGAAGCGGCAUCGUUUUUUAUUGAAAGCCCAGGCGGUUUUAGAUGAGUAUGCGACUGAUUAGCUAGUUGGUAGUGUAACGGACUACCAAGGCCACGAUCAGUAGGGGAUCUGAGAGGACUACCCCCCACACUGGUACUGAGACACGGACCAGACUCCUACGGGAGGCAGCAGUAAGGAAUAUUGGUCAAUGGAGGCAACUCUGAACCAGCCAUGCCGCGUGCAGGAAGACAGCCCUAUGGGUCGUAAACUGCUUUUGUACCAGAGAAAGCCCUUCCACGAGUGGAAGGUUGAUAGUAUGGUAAGAAUAAGCAUCGGCUAACUUCGUGCCAGCAGCCGCGGUAAUAC